rnacentral:other from 1 species
CGAAUCCUGAUGUGUUCGUGACUUGUUAAUCGAUUUUGACCGAACAUUUUAUCGUCGGGAGUCCGACUUUCACAAUAAAGAGCAUGCCAUCUCGGUGGACGCUUCGGCGUUGUGAAGAGGACACCCACCUGCUGAGUGCGGGUUCAAAACGAUAGCUUUACAGAGACGGCACGCUUGGGAUUCGU